rfam:Mus musculus chromosome 10, GRC primary reference assembly.
AGAUAUGACUGAGGGAUCUGGCUGUGACGUCCGUCACCUCAUUGAUCGCAGUUGAGCUGACUAAGCUGGCUGGCCAGGUGGGCCUGCCCUUCCUCCCCCAGCAUUCU